AAUUGCAAAGCUACCGUGAGCAUAUCAACACCAGGCAAAUAAUAAUUAUUUGUUAUCUGAUAACCGAUAGCUCAGAGUUGACACUGCAAUUCAAAAAUUUGGUAGUUGGUAGCUGAGUACCGAGGUUAUAAUUGACUACUGAACGUAAUUUUUGAGGGAAAGAUGUUUACUAUUCGAGAACUACGCACCGACUGACAAAAAUAUUCUAACUGCUCUCCUAUUUAAAGUUUAAUUUAUGGUAGUUGACUAUCAAACUGGUAGUUGAAUUCCAAAUUGGUCAAACGUUAGUGGAGAUGUUUACUCUUCAACAGCUGGAUAUCGACUGAUGAAGCUAUUCUUCCGCCUUGCCUACAAAAAAAUAAAAAAGACCUCACCAGGCUUUAGCCGGUCUAUUCUUGGUGUUGUUCAUGCUAG